AGUGAACGCUGGCGGUAGGCCUAACACAUGCAAGUCGAACGGCAGCACAGUAAGAUCUUGCUCUUACGGGUGGCGAGUGGCGGACGGGUGAGGAAUACAUCGGAAUCUACUUUUUCGUGGGGGAUAACGUAGGGAAACUUACGCUAAUACCGCAUACGACCUACGGGUGAAAGCAGGGGAUCUUCGGACCUUUCGCGAUUGAAUGAGCCGAUGUCGGAUUAGCUAGUUGGCGGGGUAAAGGCCCACCAAGGCGACGAUCCGUAGCUGGUCUGAGAGGAUGAUCAGCCACACUGGAACUGAGACACGGUCCAGACUCCUACGGGAGGCAGCAGUGGGGAAUAUUGGACAAUGGGCGAAAGCCUGACCCAGCCAUACCGCGUGAGUGAAGAAGGCCUUCGGGUUGUAAAGCCCUUUUGUUGGGAAAGAAAAGCAGCAGGUUAAUACCCCGCUGUUCUGACGGUACCCAAAGAAUAAGCACCGGCUAACUUCGUG
rnacentral:rRNA from 1 species